CAUUUCUGAUCCUUCACUUUCCUCUCCACCUUCUCGCAGUGUCCUUGUCAAGAGAGAAGGAGACUGCUGGCUACAGGGCAUCCGGGCCACUCGCAGGACGUGCCUGAAGGUCAGGAGGACACAGUGAGAAGAUGGCUGUCCACAGCCAGGAACUGACCCUACUGCACCUUGAUCUUGAACUUCCAAGUCUCCAGAACCACGAGAAAAUCAAUUUCUGUUAAAAAAAAAAAAAAGAACAGAUAUGGCUGCUUUCUUUGUCCAAAUCUGGAAACAACCCAGGUGUCCUUCAGGGAGUGAAUGGCUAGAGAGUCUAUGGCGUAUCCCCCCUGGGGAACGUUGUACGGAGAUAAGAAGAACGAGUUAUUGAUAUAUACAAAAGCCUGGAUGAAUCUCAAGGGCUGGGGAUGGAACUUAGGGCUGGUUACCACCACUGAGCUGCAGCCUGGGACCAGAUGUUCCCACUGUUCCUGGGGAACUGAGUGGAAGUCAUCAUAGAGCUCUCUGUAUUACUUCUUACAGCUGCAUAUGAAUCUAUAAUCAUCUCAUAAUAAAAAAAAUUAAUUUAAAAGAUUACUGAAGACAGCAGACAGCUUGCUUAUGAUCUAUUGA